rnacentral:rRNA from 1 species
AACGAACGCUGGCGGCAGGCUUAACACAUGCAAGUCGAACGCGUGCAGCAAUGCACGAGUGGCGCACGGGUGAGUAACGCGUGGAUAUCUGCCUUUUGGUUCGGAAUAACCCCGGGAAACUGGGGCUAAUACCGGAUGGUUCCUGCGGGAUAAAGAUUUAUCGCCAAAAGAUGAGUCCGCGUACGAUUAGCUAGUUGGUGAGGUAAUGGCUCACCAAGGCGACGAUCGUUAGCUGGUCUGAGAGGACGAUCAGCCACACUGGGACUGAGACACGGCCCAGACUCCUACGGGAGGCAGCAGUGGGGAAUAUUGGACAAUGGGGGCAACCCUGAUCCAGCCAUGCCGCGUGAGUGAUGAAGGCCUCGGUUGUAAAGCUCUUUUGUCGGGGACGGAUGAUGACGGUAC